rnacentral:lncRNA from 1 species
CAAUCGACGAUAUUUUAAUUUUAAAAUAUGAAUACAUCAAUAAUUUUAAUAGAUUUAAGUAGUGUAUUUUAUAUAAUUUUCGCAACUAUAAAUUUAUUAAAUUAAAUAAUAAAUUUUAAUUUUGAAGUUAAAAUAUUAUUGGCUAAUUUAAAUCAAACAAAUUGAAAAAUUAGAUAAUAAAAUUAAAAUUUUUAAAAAUUAAAUAAUUGAUUUAAAACAAUAUAAGCUUUGUAUGUUUUUAUCAACUUUUUUAUGUGCCAGUUACAUAUGAUAAGAUGACGGCACCAUAUGGCGUUGACUACUACAAAUAAGAUGAGAAGAUAAUAGAUGAUAGGAUGGAUAGACAGGUGAAAUGUGCAAAACACUCUCAAACCUAAAUAUUUUUUUAAAAAAAUCAAACCUGUUCUGAUUUCUUCUCGACGAAACAAGACAGGGCUGACUAUACAA